AUGAACGCUGGCGGCGUGCCUAAUACAUGCAAGUCGAACGCUUCACAUUUGUGAAGAGUGGCGAACGGGUGAGUAAUACAUAAGUAACCUGGCCUUUACAGGGGGAUAACUAUUGGAAACGAUAGCUAAGACCGCAUAGGUGUCAUAACCGCAUGGAGAUGACAUGAAAUAUGCUACGGCAUAGGUAGAGGAUGGACUUAUGGCGCAUUAGCUAGUUGGAGGGGUAACGGCCCACCAAGGCGACGAUGCGUAGCCGACCUGAGAGGGUGACCGGCCACACUGGGACUGAGACACGGCCCAGACUCCUACGGGAGGCAGCAGUAGGGAAUUUUCGGCAAUGGGGGAAACCCUGACCGAGCAACGCCGCGUGAAGGAAGAAGUAAUUCGUUAUGUAAACUUCUGUCAUAGAGGAAGAACGGUGCGUGUAGGGAAUGACAUGCAAGUGACGGUACUCUAUAAGAAAGCCACGGCUAACUACGUGCCAGCAGCCGCGGUAAUACGUAGGUGGCGAGCGUUAUCCGGAAUUAUUGGGCGUAAAGAGGGAGCAGGCGGCACUAAGGGUCUGUGGUGAAAGAUCGAAGCUUAACUUCGGUAAGCCAUGGAAACCGUAGAGCUAGAGUGUGUGAGAGGAUCGUGGAAUUCCAUGUGUAGCGGUGAAAUGCGUAGAUAUAUGGAGGAACACCAGUGGCGAAGGCGACGAUCUGGCGCAUAACUGACGCUCAGUCCCGAAAGCGUGGGGAGCAAAUAGGAUUAGAUACCCUAGUAGUCCACGCCGUAAACGAUGAGUACUAAGUGUUGGGAGUCAAAUCUCAGUGCUGCAGUUAACGCAAUAAGUACUCCGCCUGAGUAGUACGUUCGCAAGGUUGAAACUCAAAGGAAUUGACGGGGGCCCGCACAAGCAGUGGAGUAUGUGGUUUAAUUCGACGCAACGCGAAGAACCUUACCAAGUCUUGACAUCCCUUGACGAUGCUGGAAACAGUAUUUCUCUUCGGAGCAAGGAGACAGGUGGUGCAUGGUUGUCGUCAGCUCGUGUCGUGAGAUGUUGGGUUAAGUCCCGCAACGAGCGCAACCCCUGUUGCCAGUUGCCAGCAUUAAGUUGGGGACUCUGGCGAGACUGCCGGUGACAAGCCGGAGGAAGGCGGGGAUGACGUCAAAUCAUCAUGCCCCUUAUGACCUGGGCUACACACGUGCUACAAUGGACAGAGCAGAGGGAAGCGAAGCCGCGAGGUGGAGCGAAACCCAGAAAACUGUUCUCAGUUCGGACUGCAGUCUGCAACUCGACUGCACGAAGUUGGAAUCGCUAGUAAUCGCGAAUCAGCAUGUCGCGGUGAAUACGUUCUCGGGCCUUGUACACACCGCCCGUCACACCAUGAGAGUCGGUAACACCCGAAGCCGGUGGCCUAACCGCAAGGAAGGAGCUGUCUAAGGUGGGACUGAUGAUUGGGGUG
rnacentral:rRNA from 1 species